GAUUCAAUCCAGCAACCUUCCGGUUACUGGCCCAACGCUCUAACCACUAGGCUAUCUGCCGUAGUGUUCAGUCAUCCGCAUUCAUAGACACACUGGCAUGUYGUUGGUAAAGAUUGAAAAAAGUAAGGGGCCUAGACAGCUGCCCUGGAGAAUCCCUGAUUCUACCUGGAUUAUGUUGGAGAGGACUACACYCUCGGUGUUCGGUUAUCCACAUUACAGCAGGGAGUGUAAAGCCAUAACACAUACGUUUUUCCAGAAGCAGACUCUGAUCGAUAACGUCAAAAACCGCACUAAAGUCAAGACAAAACAGUCCCCACAAACUUUUUAUCAUAAAUGUAUCACAGCCAAUCACCAGUCAUGUGUGCAAGUGCUGUGCUUCCCAAUAAGCAUGCUGAAAGUCUGUUGUCAAUUUGUUUACUGCAAAAUAGCCUUGUAUCUAGUCAAACACUGUAAAAAAGCCUGUCCCUUUAAGAACUCAGUGAUGACAUCAYAGCUAUCACAAGCUGGCAGAGUGUUUAGUUCAUUACCAAGUGCAGCUGGCUACCUACUGCUGUGAACACAAAUCUCAGUUUUGGACAUUAUUUUCUUUCUGGACAAUUUAUUCAUCACUGUGCGUGAAAACCAAAACUCGGCGAAGUUUGGUCGGAUGUUGAAACGUGAGCGAGACUCUCUGCGUGCCGAGGUGGAGAGACACCGUCAGCAGCAGCAGCAUCUCCAGGCAGAGGCCCCACCCUGCCCUACCCCAGCAAGGCAUGCCGUGACCGGUCACCCCACCUGCUCCAGGCCCCGGCUUCGGCCUACUCCUUCCCUGGAGAGCCAGAGCUGCCACCCUGCCCGACAGAUGUGCUCCCCUACCUGGUGUGCUCCCCAGGCAAGUCCCAGGCUCCAGGUCUGGCCUAGCAUGGCUCCUGUGUGUCUACUGGCAGUGGGCACUUAGAAAAAAGAGGGUUCGACUCCAGUCAGCCAUCUCCUGACCAGGCGAUAGGGAUGGGAAUUAGAUCGUAUGACCCAGAAGACCCCUACUGCCCUU